AUCGCCUCUGCUCUGCAGACGGGGGGACGGAUGCAACAUCCAUCUUGCUUUAUUCCGAAAAGCGUCUCAAAGGCGAUUUGAUUACACGGCAUUCCCGCUGCCCCCGGAAGAGAUUGCGGCUUAAAAUAAUAAUAAUAAUAAAUUAAGAAUAAAUAAGAAGAAAGAAAGAAAUAUCCAAAUCGCAGCGAAAUAUAUAUAUAUAUAUAUAUAAUAUAUAUAUAUAUAAAAGGAGCAAUUUGGGGAAAAUCCGCGUUUUCCUCCGGCGGAGAUCGGGGCGCGGAGCCGCCGCCGGGUUUGCAGCCGCCGGGCUGGGGCGAAGACGCCGGAGUUUGGGUACAAAUUCCAAAGAUUUGGGAAGAGUUGGCUAGCUAGAAUUAUUGUAUUUCUUGAGCGCUGCGGGCCGGUAGGUGAACGCUGAGAGCCGGGGCGGUUUUGUUGGCGUCUCCGUUGGGUUUGGGUCGUUUUAGGGGCUCCGUGAGGCCCUAAAAAUGCGUUUCAGAGGGAAAAAAAAAAAAAAAGAAAAAAAAAAAAGGAACCGGAGGAGGGAGGGUUGGAAGCGGGAUUCAAAGCCCGGUUAGGUUCCUCCUUGCUUUUAUUGUGGCUGUUAUUGGCUUUUUAGGAAAUGAACUUCGGUUUCUUGGCAGAGUUAUGGUUCUCGGGGCAUUUCGGAAAGUGCCUUUUAUCAGCAGGACCUCGCUGCGGCUCUAUUAUAUAUUAUAUAUAUAGAUACAAGCUUUUUUUUUUAAUAUAUAUA